AGAGUUUGAUCCUGGCUCAGAGCGAACGCUGGCGGCGUGCUUAACACAUGCAAGUCGAGUGCGCGCCUGUAGCAAUACAGGUGGCGCACGGCGCACGGGUGCGUAACACGUGGGUAAUCUGCCCUUCGAUGGGGAAUAACUCCGGGAAACCGAAGCUAAUUCCGCAUAACAUUCCUUGAACUUCGGUUUGGGGACUCAAAGCCGUAAGGCGUCGGAGGAGGAGCCCGCGCACGAUUAGCUAGUUGGUAGGGUAACGGCCUACCAAGGCUUUGAUCGUUAGCUGGUCUGAGAGGAUGGCCAGCCACACUGGAACUGAGACACGGUCCAGACUCCUACGGGAGGCAGCAGUGGGGAAUCUUGCACAAUGGGCGAAAGCCUGAUGCAGCGACGCCGCGUGGGGGAUGAAGCUUUUCGGAGUG
rnacentral:rRNA from 1 species